GCCAGGCAUGGUGGCUCAUGCCUAUAAUCCCAGCACCUUGGGAGGCCGAGGUGGGUGGAUCACCUGAGGUCAGGAGUUUGAGACCAGCCUGGCCAACAUGGUGAAACCCCACUUCAU
ensembl:misc_RNA Metazoa_SRP Metazoan signal recognition particle RNA